GCCGCCGCCGCCGUCGUCGACGACGAGGAGGACGGCGUCGCUCUUCCAACCCUGUCCUUCCGGUGGACGUUCAUGUGCCCGCCGAGCGCCUGCGCCGUCGGGAAGCCCCUCCUGCAGAAGGUGCAGUUGUACGGCUGCCUCGUGCCGGCCUCGUCGUCGUCGUCGUCGUCGCCGCUGCGGGCCUCGCGGAGCUCCUCCU
rnacentral:sRNA from 1 species